UACAGAGACUGCGAGCGUUAUUCGGAUUCACUGGGCGUAAAGGGUGCGCAGGCGGCCGUGUGUGUGGGGCGUGAAAGCCCGAGGCUUAACCUCGGAAUUGCACCUCAAACUACAUGGUUAGAGUACUGGAGAGGGAAACGGAAUUCACGGUGUAGCAGUGAAAUGCGUAGAUAUCGUGAGGAACACCAGAGGCGAAGGCGGUUUCCUGGACAGUUACUGACGCUCAGGCACGAAAGCGUGGGGAGCAAAAGGG
rnacentral:rRNA from 1 species